GGGGCUGGUGGACAGGUGGUGCAUGGUUGUCGUCAGCUCGUGUCGUGAGAUGUUGGGUUAAGUCCCGCAACGAGCGCAACCCUCGUUCUAUGUUGCCAGCACGUGAUGGUGGGGACUCAUAGGAGACUGCCGGGGUCAACUCGGAGGAAGGUGGGGAUGACGUCAAAUCAUCAUGCCCCUUAUGUCUUGGGCUUCACGCAUGCUACAAUGGCCGGUACAAAGGGUUGCGAUACUGUGAGGUGGAGCUAAUCCCAAAAAGCCGGUCUCAGUUCGGAUUGAGGUCUGCAACUCGACCUCAUGAAGUCGGAGUCGCUAGUAAUCGCAGAUCAGCAACGCUGCGGUGAAUACGUUCCCGGGCCUUGUACACACCGCCCGUCAAGUCACGAAAGUUGGUAACACCCGAAGCCGGUGGCCUAACCCCUUGAGGGAGGGAGCCGUCGAAGGUGG
rnacentral:rRNA from 1 species